CUGACCUGUGGAGAUUCAUACUGCAGAACCUGCAUCAGGCCUCACUACUCUGACCCAGAUCUGGAGAGACACCAGCUACAGGACCUUCAGGAUCAGAGCCUCUGUGAACAGCACCACAAACAGCUGGAGUUCUACUGCAGGACUGACCAAUCAGCAAUCUGCUCACGCUGUUUACUUAAAGAUCACAAGGGACAUGACGUCGUGGAGCAAGUGGGCACAUAUACAGAUCAGAAUGCAGAUGAGACACAAUGCAAAGUUACCGAAACAGGAGGUGUUCCUCCACCUGGGCAGAUCCAGUUCGUCUCAGUGCAGUCAGACUCUGUGACUUUAAGAUGGUCACCACCAGAGGGCGCUCCUGGUCCCCACAGGUACAGGGUGACCUGGAGACGAGGCCACAAGCAGCACAGCACUCCGGUAACAGGUUCUGAGGUGGUGGUGACGGGGCUUCUUCCAGCAUCGAAGUACCACUUUACUGUGGUCACCCUCAGUGAAGAUGGCCGCCAGAGCCUAUGCGUGGAUGGAUCUGUACACACAGGUGAGGAUUAACCCUGAGUAGUUUGCUGACUAUCUUGGACAAUGUCCACCACCCACUACACAGUACUCU